rnacentral:rRNA from 1 species
CCUACGGGUGGCUGCAGUGAGGAAUAUUGGUCAAUGGGCGGGAGCCUGAACCAGCCAAGUCGCGUGAGGGAAGACGGUCCUAUGGAUUGUAAACCUCUUUAGGCGGGGAGCAAUGCCGGGCACGCGUGCCCGGAGGGAGAGUACCCGCAGAAUAAGCAUCGGCUAACUCCGUGCCAGCAGCCGCGGUAAUACGGAGGAUGCGAGCGUUAUCCGGAUUUAUUGGGUUUAAAGGGUGCGUAGGCGGACUUUUUAGUCAGCGGUAAAAUAUCCGGGCUCAACCCGGGCCGGCCGUUGAAACUGGGGAUUUUGAGUGGGCGAGAAGUAUGCGGAAGGCGUGGUGUAGCGGUGAAAUGCAUAGAUAUCACGCAGAACUCCGAUUGCGAAGGCAGCAUACCGGCGCCCGACUGACGCUGAGGCACGAAAGCGUGGGUAUCGAACAGGAUUAGAUACCCGGGUAGUC